CCCUCUCUAGUUCAAAUCUAUAGGUUAUAUAUUAUUGGAAGAGUGAGUUGUACAUGCGUGUGUUUCACCCGCAAGUCAAAACUUCAAACACUACCUAUUUUUAUCUCCUCCUCCUCCUCCUCAAGUUAUAAAGUACAGAGUCUGGGCCAUCAGAGUCAUGCUUCACAAGGCAAAGCAAUCAGAGAAGCUCUCAGGCGGAGCCUCAGAUUUCUUGAGAUUAAUUGGCUUUUAAAUUAAAGCUCAUCGCUGCUCAGAAUUAUUAAUCUCUUCUAGCAGCUAGCAGGGGUGAGUGGAUUCCAUGCCGCUCUUGUCAAGUGAGAAGUUUUCUUGUGGACUUCCCUUUCCUUCGUUGUCUGUUCGACCUUGAAACCCUGACAAUAACCUCUUUAAUUAUCAGCAUGAUGGUAGAUACUAAAUAGAUUAAACCAUAUUUAUUCUUUAUUUCUAUAUGCUUUUAUAUAUUCACCUUAUUAUAUCCUCUCAGUUUAUCAUCCUAAUCGGAUAAUUUUCUCAGAUUAAAAGACUGAAAUCAAUUUGAGUGUUAACAGUAGUAACUAAUUCGAUCUUCAUUUAAUGCUUUGAUGAUGGGUUCUUUUUGCAUGGGAAUCAUCUUCCUUGGCACCCAUCUAUAUGUUUUGUGCUUACCUUGUAGGUGCGACUAGAGAUCAAAAGUAUGUUAGUGGAUUUUAUAUUAGUACCUUGGGGACCAAAUGCUUUGAUUUCCAUAUUAUAAUACAUACAUUGUAUGUGCGUGUAUAUUUCAACGUACUAUAUACGUAUAGGGAGUAAAAUUUCAUCUUCAUUGUAAAAAUAUAUAUAUAUAUAUAUAUGCAUAUGGGAUAGAUAGUUUCUUCAACUAUAUAAUAGAUUUUAUUUAGACUAAAGUUGUUGGUGAAAUUCGAGUCAAAGAACAUUAUAUAAAUAUAAAUAUGAAAUUAUGUUGAUUAAGGAUACAUUCAAAUUCUGGUCCUUGUUUGGAUUGUAGAUGAUAAUCAAGCUUUCUGGAUUACCUGAUUCUUUUGGAUGAUUACGAAACGUUUCAUUUCUCCUUUUUAUUACCCAAAGAAGAAAUAUGAAAGGAAAAAUAAAAAUCAAGAGAGCGGUUUGGACGAAGUUAAUUAAAUUUGUUUCCUUUGAACGUGUGAAUACUCAGAGGAUACAUAAAUUAUUGGGAUUCAAACUCUUCGUACAGAGGUGGUCACGGACUUCACCAAAGAUUAUGAUUACAGUUGGGCUAACAUCGAUAUAUUUCUCUCUACUUAAUUUCCUUGGCUCCUGGCAUGUCAUUUAGUACUAUUUAUUCUUAGAUCAGCAAAAUUUAGUACUAUUUAUUCUGUUUGAAAAAUGAUUUUAUGUUUGAAAAAAAAUUGUGUUUUCUAUUUUUCCGGUGUGUUAAUUACAGAAUAGUUGGGCAAUAAAUAGAUAACUAAUUACGAUGGAUAUUUUGGUAAAUAUAUUAUUAAAUUAAAUAUUCAUUGAUUGAUGUUUGUAAUAUUGCUUAUAUUUUAUUACAAAUUUUUUCUUUUUUCCUAUUUUAUUGCUUAUCUCAGUGUUCUGUAAUUAUGACCAUUUAAUAGAUAAAUAGUAAUUAUUGAAAUUAUGACGAAGUAGUAUGGACGUUGAGAGAACGACGGGGAUCAAAGAUAAAGUAUGCUUUUUAAAAUUUUUUACUGUUUAUAACCUGUCCAAUCAAAUCAAAUCAAUUCAUUACUUUUUAUCUGUUUAAUGCAUGCACAUUUCUCUUCUGAUUGAAGAUUAAUUUUUCCCCCCUCAUAUAAUUGUCAUUAGAGAAAUUAUUUAAAUGACAUGAAACUCUUGGCAAGAAUUGAAACAAUUUUCCAGACAAGCAAUGAAACAAUUUAGCAACCAAAAAAAUAUAUAUAUAUAUAUACACACGCACCCACCCACCCACCUUCAAACUAAAUAUAUAAUAUCAACUUAAAUUGAGUUUUGAGCCGCACGAAGUUAAAUCUUGACUACUUCGAAGGCGGAAAAGGAAACACAAAUUAUAGUACAAUGUACAGAUUGGAUCUAGACCUUUCUUUUAUCUGUUUUAUAUGUAAAAAUUAUCUAGGAGUAAAUUUAAGGUAAGAUUUGCUGGUAUCAUUGUGCUGUCAUACACUGUGAAAAUAUCAAGCUGGUGUGAAAAUUAGGUUAAUAGAGACAAGGGAAAAGACAGGUCAGAAGCAUAUGUAACCAAAUAGUAAAUUACAAGAGCUAGCUAGGUGGGUAUAUUAUAAGUACGAAGAACUUAAAAGUUGUAAUAAAUGAAGCUAUUACUGCUAUAGGAGCAUAUAUUAACAAUAGGCUCAUAUGCAGUGUCACUAACUAGCUAGAUUGUGUGUGUUGUGCGUACAGUAAGAGUUGGUUCGGAUAGUGAAAUAUAUUUGUGCGUAGGUUAUUCAUUUAAGGAUGAGACGAAUUGAUAUUUCAGUACUAGAGAAAAAGGUUUUUGUGACUUAACUGGAAGAAAAGGACUAGUCACUCUAGGAAGGUGUCGCUUUAACUUUCUUUUAAGCCAUAUACUUUCUUGGGUAGGGACCCAUUGUAUUUACUUCCAUUGUUAACUAACAUUGUCCUCUGCUUUAUCGAUCACAAUCAACUAACUUUCAUUUCCAUUUCACAUGUUGUUUGGAAACUUCCCUUAGCUUCCCACAUGUAGGGUUAAAAGUCAUUUCAAGUUAUUUAACUUUUAAACUUAAAACUAUUCACUUUGAAAUAUUUAAUAUCUCAAACUUUUAUGCAUUACAAUUUAAUUUUUUGCUUUAACUUUUGAAAAUAAGGCAUAGAACACUCUCUUGUUAAAAGAUUUAAUUUUGACAGUUAGUUGACUCUAAAAUUGCAAUAUAUUAUUUUAAAAAUUACAGAAAAGGACUUAUAAAAUUAUACACAAGUUCAUUAUAAGAAAAAUUAAUAUUAAUUAAUUCUCCUAAAUUACAUAUAACUAACAGGAUAUAAAUAUUAUUUUUGAUCUACAUAAAAGACUAAAAUACAAUUUUGACUAACCAUCUUUUGCAAUUUUAUAACCCAUUUUUUAUAAUUUUUUAGGCUUUUUUUAUAAUUUUUUAUCAAUUAAUGAUUAAAGUUAACUUUUUAAUGAUAUGAAAUUUCAUGCACCAUGUUUAAAAAUUGAAUAGAAAAACUGGACCACAUAAAACUUUAGGAUACCAGAUACUUUUGAGUGAAUAGUAUAAGGACAAAAAUAUCCUUCAUUGUAACCUUUAACUUUUAUUAUGCCCGGAUCGGAAUAAUUGAAUUGGUGAAAUAGACACUAAUGUAUAAUAAUUUUUGAUUUAGAGGAAAUGCGGUUCAGUUAUUAGUUCCUUUAAGUCUAAAACGUAAUUAAUGAGUGUAUUAAAUUCGUUGACGUGAAUAAGAGUUUCAGUAGGUGUGAGGAAUUUUUUAAGGUCGAAUAGAUAACGAAAGCAAGGUAUGACCAAGGGACUCCUCACUUGACAAGAGUUCUGCAUGGAGUACAACACCCUCCUUCAACUUUUAAAAGGUUACUAUCCAAUUGAUUCUCACCACUCUUUGGACAUUAACAUUACCAGGUUCGUGUUUGGUGAGUUGCUCACACCCUAAUGGAAUCCCUUAAAUUUCACCGGUGAGUCAACGCUGUUGAAAUUCGCAUGUUUACACAAAACAAGCAUUUAACUUGAAUUUCGGCUCAAACCCUAUAUACAACGCCCAAUGUUUUGCAAAUUGGACUGAAUGUUAAGUUAGAGAAGUUAGCGGUUCUUGAUUUCCCGUAUCUACAUCACUAUUUUGAAAAGUGAAGUAGAAUGUUAAUGUUUUUUUAUUAAUAUAUAUUUUAUAAUUUUUUCAUGGCCAAAAUUAAACCUACAAGGUUUAACACACACACACACACACACACACACAAAGCAACCUAGCAGCACAACAAAAUAUACUAGGCAUAUCAAUGGAACUCCAGAUAUCAUGAAUCAUAUUUUUUAUUCUAUCAUUCAAAUUAUUCACAACUUGCUUAUUUUGGGAAAUAGAGGUUGUUCCCACUUCACCAUGCUAUAACCAUCUUGUAUUGCAUUUAUUCUAUCACAAAGUAAAUACUCUUUUAUUUCAGCAAUAUACAGUAGAUUCUUAUUUAAACAAUUGACACAAGGACAAAAAUACUUCUUAUUUUUACCAAGAACAUUUUUUUCUAGCAAAUUCAACAAACCAAUCCACACCAUUCUUAUAUUCUUUCUUUCUCAAUUUCUUAACAUUUAUCCAAUUAUGAUCCAUUUUAAUACUACCUAGUCAAUUAUAACAAAAUCUAUCAAAUUAGCAAUUUUUUCUGGCUUAUUUAUUUUCACUUUAAUUUGUUAAGGUUAGAAGCGUAAGGUAUACUUUUGCUUAAAAAAAAAUUGACAAUGGAUUCCCUUAAAAUAAGACAUCCUAAAAUUUCAACAACUUAAACCUAUAGAAGCAGAAAUCAAUUAAACCGAUAUUUACAUAUUAAAAUCAAGAAAUGUCAACAUUUAGCAUAACCAAGCUUAAUUUUAUAUUUUUUGAGCUUGCACAAAUAUGUUAAUAUUAGACAAAAAUUUGGCAGAGUUUUUCCUUAAAAAUUGAAACCUCCAAAAUUCCAACAACAUUAAAUUAACCAAUUUAACUAGCUCAGAUAAUCAAAUAUCAAAUUUAAGCAUAAAUAGCAACAACUAAUAUAUCAAUAUUAAACUAUCCAUUCAUGAGAGAUAACAUUUUUCAAAGCUAAUCAAACUUAAUUUUGUCAAAAUGAAUUUGCAAUAUAAAACUUUUCAAAGCUAAGCAAAUAUGUACCUUAAUUUUGUCACAACCUCAACAUGAAAAAGCAAAUAAUCGUAAGCUCCCCACAACACAAACAACGAUUCUGAAAAUAAAAAGGCUAAUUGAUUAGAAUUCGGAAAAGUUUUUGUCAAUGCCACCUUAUUUUAUUUCCCUCCUCUUCUCAGAAGUUUAGAUAUUUUAAGUUUGUUUUAGUUAAUUGACUAAAUCCACUCAAUACCUUUCUUGGAAAGUUAUGUUCACAUAUCCUUGUCAAUGCCUUCUCGUACGGCUUCAACACAACUGUGCAGUGUGUACUACAUAUUUAUUUUAACUUUGAAAGCACAAAUGGAUGAACAUACCGGAUUUCAACCAAUUUAUUUCCUACCAACACUUUCCUCAAUACAAUAUCUUUGUUCAAUUAAAAAUUUAAUCCAUUUGUACGUAUUGCCAGCAUAAUGAAUAAAUUAAACCCAUUUUACUCAAAAAAUGAAAGGAAGAAGAACCAACCCAGAUGCCGAGGCAAUGGAAGCAAUGCCCAGGGCUUUUAUUCAAAAUACAACCUGUGGUGUAUGAAGAGGGAGGAGGGGUGUGGACUACAUAUUAUAUUUGUUUUCUGUAAUUUAGAUGAUUUAUUUGAUAUUAAUUGUACAUUUCUAUAAUUUUCAGGUGGUUCUUUUUCUAUAACUUUUAUGGUCUUUUUAGCUAAUUUUUAUGGUCAACUAACAAUCAAAGUUAGCUUUUUAACAAGGUGAUCAA